rnacentral:rRNA from 1 species
CUACGGGGUGCUCCAGUGAGGAAUAUUGCACAAUGGGGGGAACCCUGAUGCAGCAACGCCGCGUGGAGGAUGACGCAUUUCGGUGCGUAAACUCCUUUUAUAUGUCAAGAAAAUGACGGUAGCAUAUGAAUAAGCACCGGCUAACUCCGUGCCAGCAGCCGCGGUAAUACGGAGGGUGCAAGCGUUACUCGGAAUCACUGGGCGUAAAGGACGCGUAGGCGGGUUGGAAAGUCAGGUGUGAAAUCCUACAGCUUAACUGUAGAACUGCACUUGAAACUUCUAAGCUAGAGUUGGGAGGGGGAGAUGGAAUUAGUGGUGUAGGGGUAAAAUCCGUAGAUAUCACUAGGAAUACCUAAAGCGAAGGCGAUCUCCUGGAACAUUACUGACGCUAAGGCGUGAAAGCGUGGGGAGCAAACAGGAUUAGAUACCCGAGUGGUC